rnacentral:lncRNA from 1 species
UAUGAAUUUUAUUUUGUUGUAUUUUCAUUUUAUUGCAACUGAUACAACAACAGCCACAACAAAAGCCACAAGAGGAGCCACAACCUUUAGGAUGUUAUCAAAGAAACCUGCAAGGAGGGUGAGCUCCUUUCGCCAUAUAAGGUUUCAAGAUCUCUGCAUUCCAAUUGAGAUGAAGACGUGAUAUCGACACCUGUUGCACUAGGAAUAGGCGGAGAUCGACACCUGCUGCACUAGGAAUAGGCGGAGCUGCAGUAGAAGCAGGCGGUCUCGUACUCUUCUGACAAGUUUAGUUCUUCUUCGGUUUUUUCAACUCAAUCAACUCUUCAUCAGUGCGUUCAACUUUCUCGUCAACUCUUCAUUAUGUCUGUUGAUAACAACAAACAAAUAAAUCAUUGUUGAUAACAACAAACAAAUAAAUCAUUGUUGAUAACAAUAAACAAAGAAAAUAGUAACCUUCACAAAAUCAAGAACCCAAUAGGUUUGUUUAUUGUUCUCUAGCAAUUGAUCUUUAAUAUUUUCCACCAUAAUAAACCCUCCCGUAAAACAUUAACAGAGGUCAGUAGACAUUAUUGGUCAUCAAAAACAGAAAAUAAAUAUUAUAAGAGGUAAAGUUCAUGAAUUUUCAAUUUUCAUGAAACUAGAAAAACAAGCCAGCAAAUCAAUCAAGAGGAAAGAAGAAUCAAAAAGAAUUCAUACAUACACAAAACUGACAACAAAGCUUAAUAAUCUAUAGAUGGAGAAGCAUGCUUUAGGUGCUUGAACCACUGGUGAUCUUUCUACACUUUUUUUCCUUAUAUAUGGUAAAUACCUCGGGGCCAAACAAUGGCUUCUAAUUUACUAGAUAGUACAACUUACCUGGAAAGAUCUGUAAUGCGUUGCAAUGGACCAAAAACUGGAAAUUUUUUGAAGUCAGUCUGAACCGUUGACUUAAAGUCCAUAAACUCUAUCCAUUGUGAUUUGUCAAUUUUCUCAAGUUCAGCCCAAGGACCCUCCACUGAUCUGUCACAUAUACUGCCAAGUUUAAAGAGCAAUUCAUCCGUUGGGAAGAUAUUCAGCAUCUCGCAAUCAGGUAGGCAGUCCCGAUUAAGAAGUACGCACACUCGGCAUUUCUUCCUCAAGGGAUCCAUUGGCAAAACCCUAGAUUGCAAAACAAUCGAAACUAAUGAAAAUUAGGCAGAGUAUUAGAACACGGGAGUCGUACCCAUAGCCAAAAUAAUUUAUUAAUCACGCCAAAAGCAAGCUACGAUGUUCAUGAAUUGUUUUCCUAAGCUAAUUUUGGGACUGUUCUAAAGGUCAUGGUUUAUGGAGUAGGGAGCUUGA